GGCUUUGGUUGUGCAAAGAAAUCCCGGCUCGGUCGAUUAUCUCUCUGGAAAGCUGCUUUGGGAGGUGCUUUUGUAGCUGCUGUGAGUGGAAGUGUGGGCAGAAGCCUUGCAGCCCCCGGGGAGCCCGCUCUUGCUGUUACUCGCGUCCCGUUGUUGGAUGAAGCGGUGGGGCAGGGCCGGCCUUGCCAACAGGAGGUAGAUCCUCCUGCAUCUUUUGCCAGGCAGGCUGCUGAACCGAGGUGCCAAGUAUGUCCUGGCAGGGCUUGCUCCUUGCGUCAGGUAUUGGAUCCGCUGCCGUUCCGAGGGUAGUGAAACCCCACACUUGCUUUUCUCCAUGUGCUCAUGACUGGUUUUAUCAAACGUAGGGGGCCGUUUCCAUUGGGCAUGGACGAUAGGUGAAAUGUGCUUCGUUUGUUUAGUGAGAAUUCCAGCUUGUCCCUUUGUGCAGGGUCACUGGAGUUUCUGUGGACUUGUUAACCUCGCCUUCACCUCGGGUGAUUGAAAGAGGCAGGGCUGGAAAAAUCCCUCGGCGUUGCUUUGAAACACUUGAUACUCGGUAUCAACUAAAAGAUGAGGAUUGCUGGAAAACUGUCUGUCUUGUCAAAAUAUUUUGCAGCGCAGGAUGGAGGUACUUCUACCUGUGUAGCCUGUGGAUAAACUGUAAUGAAAGCGGUUGACGACUGAGCACAAGUUCUGUGAGAGCUGGGAAAAAGGUCAAGCUGCAUCCAGCUUAAGCAUUGCAGCCUGAUUUUGGGAAUGCGACGUCUCUGGAGGUGAUGGUGCAUGAUCCAUCCUCGACUCCUGAGAUUUCAGAUAUGGACUUUGAUGUUGAUGCUCUCUUCAAUGAAUCUCAGACAACUCCUUCGACAACAACAGCUAAAAAGAAGGACGUCCUGACGUGCUUCGUGGACAUCCUGAAGCACGUAGCUGAAUUUGACCCCACGGGGGAGACCCCCUUUCAGCUUUCAGCCAUCACGCCCCCCAUCAACGAGACCAAGGAAACUCUUUUGUCAAAACUCUGCGGGACGUCUGCUGAAAGUAUAGAAAACCUAGAAGACCUCCUAAUGACAUUUGAACCUACACCAUCUACAACACCUACACCACCAGCAGUCCUGACAGCCCAAACUGGCCCAGAUCUUUCUGUUUCAUGCGUUUAUACGUCUAUUCGGCUGAUGAAAGCGCUGAAAGAACUAGCUGAAAUACUUGAAACCGCGGCUACGAAAAAGAAAAACAAGGCUCUCGGUCAGUUAAUAAAUGGAUUUAGUGAGAUCUUGGAAGGAUGUUUUAAAAAUUUGCAUGUUAAAUAUCGCAAUUAAAUUUGACAGCCCCAAACCUGCCAGCAAAAGGAUGAGAAAGGUCGCAUGAGUUUAAGAAGAUGGAACGUCAAGUUUUAGGCAAAGUCACCUUGGGAAUGAUUGAAACGUUACAGACAGCAGUGGUGAAUGCACCUGAGAGCAUUAAAGAAACCACAUCUUAAUGGGCUGGAAUCUAGAAAAGGAGUAAACAGUUUGUAAGAGCAACUGUAUAAUUUAUCUAAUGAUCCUCCCUCUCCAUCUGUCCACUGGGUCUAGGAGGGAGCUCAGCUGAAACCAGGAAAAUAAGAUCUUUGAUUAACCUGCUUCAUUAUUUUAGUCACCAUUUAGAUACGUAUUUUAAUAGUUAUGUUGAGAAAAAUAUUCCAGCUUUCAAGAAUGGUGAAAACACUUAAAAAAAAUAAAUACAAAUAUCUAGAAUAUUGUCA
rnacentral:lncRNA from 1 species